rnacentral:rRNA from 1 species
GUAGGGUGAACCUGGCGGAAGGGAUCAUUUUACCGAAGUGGAGGGGCCCUUUGGGUCCAACCUCCCACCCGUGUUUAUUUACCUCGUUGCUUCGGCGGGCCCGCCUUAACUGGCCGCCGGGGGGCUCACGCCCCCGGGCCCGCGCCCGCCGAAGACACCCCCGAACUCUGCCUGAAGAUUGUCGUCUGAGUGAAAAUAUAAAUUAUUUAAAACUUUCAACAACGGAUCUCUUGGUUCCGGCAUCGAUGAAGAACGCAGCGAAAUGCGAUACGUAAUGUGAAUUGCAAAUUCAGUGAAUCAUCGAGUCUUUGAACGCACAUUGCGCCCCCUGGUAUUCCGGGGGGCAUGCCUGUCCGAGCGUCAUUGCUGCCCUCAAGCCCGGCUUGUGUGUUGGGCCCCGUCCUCCGAUUCCGGGGGACGGGCCCGAAAGGCAGCGGCGGCACCGCGUCCGGUCCUCGAGCGUAUGGGGCUUUGUCACCCGCUCUGUAGGCCCGGCCGGCGCUUGCCGAUCAACCCAAAUUUUUAUCCAGGUUGACCUCGGAUCAGGUAGGGAUACCCGCUGAACUUAAGCAUACUA